rnacentral:rRNA from 1 species
CUACGGGAGGCAGCAGUGGGGAAUUUUCCGCAAUGGGCGAAAGCCUGACGGAGCAAUACCGCGUGAGGGAUGACGGCCUAUGGGUUGUAAACCUCUUUUUUCAGGGAGGAAUCAAUGACGUGUACCUGAAGAAUAAGCAUCGGCUAACUCCGUGCCAGCAGCCGCGGUAAU